rnacentral:rRNA from 1 species
GGAAUAUUGCGCAAUGGACGAAAGUCUGACGCAGCGACGCCUCGUGAGGGACGAAGGUCUUCGGAUUGUAAACCUCUUUCAGCAGGGACGAAGCGAAAGUGACGGUACCUGCAGAAGAAGCACCGGCUAACUAUGUGCCAGCAGCCGCGGUAAUACAUAGGGUGCAAGCGUUGUCCGGAUUUAUUGGGCGUAAAGAGUUCGUAGGCGGUUUCUCGCGUCGGAUGUGAAAACUCAGGGCUCAACCCUGAGCCUGCAUUCGAUACGGGGAAACUUGAGGACGGCAGGGGAGACUGGAACUCCUGGUGUAGCGGUGGAAUGCGCAGAUAUCAGGAAGAACACCAAUGGCGAAGGCAGGUCUCUGGGCCGAUUCUGACGCUGAGGAACGAAAGCGUGGGGAGCAAACAGGAUUAGAUACCCUGGUAGUCCACGCCGUAAACGAUGGACGCUAGGUGUGGGGAACAUUCCACGUUCUCUGCGCCGCAGCUAACGCAUUAAGCGUCCCGCCUGGGGAGUACGACCGCAAGGUUAAAACUCAAAGGAAUUGACGG